rnacentral:misc_RNA from 1 species
GAUGAAGAACGCAGCGAAAUGCGAUAAGUAGUGUGAAUUGCAGAAUUCCGUGAAUCAUCGAAUCUUUGAACGCACAUUGCGCCUUCUGGUAUUCCGGAAGGCAUGCCUGUUCGAGAGUCAUUAACAACCGUUUCGAUCCCUUUCUUUCAGAAAUUACAAAGAGGAAAAGGGUUUGGUUAUGGUGGAGGAGGGAAAGGGAGCGUUUAGCCUGUAAAAAAAGAGGCUGUGUUCCGCCUCCCCCCCAAAAUUGUACAGGCGGUCGUGUGCGCCCACGCAUCGAGGUGGUGUAAAAGCUGCCACGGCACUUUUCACCUGUGCAGUGCGAGAUUGGCCAGCCGGUUUAAAAACCCCUCCAAACAAUCAAAGGUUGACCUCGGAUCAGGUAGGGAUACCCGCUGAACUUAAGCAUAUCAAUAAGCGGAGGA